UACGUAGGGACCAAGCGUUGUUCGGAUUUACUGGGCGUAAAGGGCGCGUAGGCGGCAAUUCAAGUCAUCUGUGAAAUCUCCGGGCUUAACUCGGAACGGUCAGAUGAUACUGCUUUGCUAGAGUGCGGAAGGGGCAAUCGGAAUUCCCGGUGUAGCGGUGAAAUGCGCAGAUAUCAGGAGGAACACCGGUGGCGAAGGCGGGUCUCUGGGCCGUAACUGACGCUGAGGUGCGAAAGCGUGGGGAGCAAACAGG
rnacentral:rRNA from 1 species